CGGGAAGUGGCGCAGCCUGGUAGCGCAUCUGCAUGGGGUGCAGGGGGCCGGAGGUUCAAAUCCUCUCUUCCCGACCA
rnacentral:tRNA from 1 species